UUGCGGCCUCAAAAGAAAACCCUAACUCUCACAACUAUCCACCCGACCCAACACUCCUACAGCCUUAACACCGUCGCCAUCCACCGUCCAGCGCCUUCGCUUUGGUUUUGAUAGCGGACGCUGCAGAUCUCACAUUGAUCUCAUAUGAUAUCUAUUGAACAGGUCUAAAUCGAACCGUCGCAUUGUAUUCAACCAAAUCUGCAUUGAUUCAUUACCAGAUCUGCUUAAAUUCACAACCUUGCAUGGCGUUUGAUUUCUUUAUACAAGUUGGUGGAACUUUCAUGAUGUGUUCUUGAUGCUUUAGUAUUUCAAACUAACUUUCGCCUCCCCCUCCAGCCUCCCUCCCCAGGAAGUUGAGGCUAUGACCCUUUAGACUUAUAGAGAACGCAAAAACACAAAGAUUUGGUUGAUCAAGGCGAUAAAUGGUUAAAAGAUAUGGUUAUCCAUCAUAUGACCUUUCUUUUUUUGAUGUCGUGCGCUUCGAUUGUCAUCUUCUCAUCUAUCAACACAUCUCGUUUUCUAAUGUGAUUUCAUACAAACUCAUCUAUCAAUACAACCCUAGCGGCAGAUAUGUGGUUAAUGAACUUUAGAACUUCAAAGACGGUCGGAAAACUACAUUAAAGGAAGUUAUUAGCUACAUCUUGAAGAAUAUGAAGAAGCGCAAAAGGCUAAAGUUUGUAUGCUGCCAUUUUAUCAUCAUUUAAAUCGACUUGCAUAGUAAUUUUUUCUAGGAGUUCAUUUUAUUUGUAUGCACUCUGAAUAUCUAGACUUGUACAUAUGUGUGCCCUCACUCACAAUCUCACAUGGAGAUGGCAAUUUUAUUCCAUGUAGUUUGUAAAGGGGUUAUAUGGAGUC